UACGUAGGGUGCAAGCGUUAAUCGGAAUUACUGGGCGUAAAGCGUGCGCAGGCGGUUUUGUAAGUCUGUCGUGAAAUCCCCGGGCUCAACCUGGGAAUUGCGAUGGAGACUGCAAGGCUAGAAUCUGGCGGAGGGGGGUAGAAUUCCACGUGGUAGCAGUGAAAUGCGUAGAGAUGUGGAGGAACACCGAUGGCGAAGGCAGCCCCUGGGCCUGCACUGACGCUCAUGCACGAAAGCGUGGGGAGCAAACGG
rnacentral:rRNA from 1 species